rnacentral:rRNA from 1 species
UACGUAGGGUGCGAGCGUUGUCCGGAAUUACUGGGCGUAAAGAGCUCGUAGGUGGUUUGUCGCGUUGUCCGUGAAAACUCACAACUCAAUUGUGGGCGUGCGGGCGAUACGGGCAGACUGGAGUACUGCAGGGGAGACUGGAAUUCCUGGUGUAGCGGUGGAAUGCGCAGAUAUCAGGAGGAACACCGGUGGCGAAGGCGGGUCUCUGGGACGGUACUGACGCUGAGGCGCGAAAGCGUGGGGAGCAAACAGG